GGGAGGGGGAGGAGAGGGCGCCCAGCCUACGUGCCCAGAACUGCGGCGAAGGGAGCCCAGGAGACUGCCAGCCCCUUCUGCAGAAGCCCCGCCCCUCUGCCCGCACUCCUUCCCUUCCCCCUCCCAGGCUCUGAAGCUGGGACCUGGGCCUGGAGGUGGGAGGAGGACCAGGAAGGCCUCCCUCUCUUUGCCUUAUUGCCCAUCUGCUCGUGAUUUUUAUUUGUUUGGUGCCAGGGGUUGAGCCCAGGGGGUUUAACUAUGGAUCCACAUCCCCAGCCCUUAUUACUUUUUUAUUAUGGAACAGGGUCUGGUCUCACUAAGUUACUUUGGGCCUCUCUAGGUUGCUGAGGCUGGCCUUAAACUUGCUAUCCUCCUGCCUCAGCCUCCCCAGUAGCUGGGAUUACAGGUGUGUGCCACCACACCCUGCCGCCCACUGGUUCUGAGUCCUCAGUGUUCCAAGGCCAGCCUGCAGCUCCGGAGUCCUGGCCUCAGGGACCUCACCCCGCAGGGCUAGCCCAGCCUACAGCUCUGGGUUGGAGGCCCAUGGACCCCCACUACUGUCGCCAGCCAGGGAGGAAAACACCCAGAAAUACAAGAUAGAAAUAGCAUGUACGCCUUGAGCAUUCCAGCCAGGGCCGCCUACACACUGGGUGGCCUCCUUCUCCCGCAAGACCCCAGCCUGGAGCUUGGGGGGGGGGGCAGUCUCAGUCUUGGAGGGGGAGGAAAAGGCCACACUGCAGAGCAGUGGGUGGGGCCUUGGCCAGGACCUCCCUCCCUCCCACUGUGCCAUGGGAAGCAGAGCCCGGCCAGGGCAGACGCAGCCAAGCUCACAAGAGCCACUGUGAGCUGCCAGCCCAAAGGUGGGCGCGGAGCUCUUGGCCACACCAGGUCCAAGCUGAGCGUCCAGCCCAGCGGGUGAAGCGAACCUGUGAACCUCAGGAGGGAGGGGAGCUGGCUCAGGAGGGAGGGGAGCUGGCUCAGGAGGGAGGGGAGCUGGCGCGGCUGAGUUCUGGGCGCUCCAGCUGGGCCAGGCGCCUGCCCUCCUCGCUUGACCUCUGCAAUCCCGGAAUAGGUCUGAGAAACUAUUUUACAGGUGAAGAAAGGAAGGCUCAGAGACUCCAAGUGACUUGCUUUAAGUCACAAAGCCAAGGAAGCCGGACCCAAAGGCAGGAGGUCCACCUUCUUGACCAUUGUUUUUAAGAAAAAGUAGUUUCUGGGCCAGCGUGGGGUGGGCAGGAGGGGGGAAUUGAAGGUGUGGGAUGCAGAUCCCAGGCACGUCGGGGAGCCCCCCCAUGGCCCCGCCCCUCGCCCCUCCCUCCUGGGCGGUCUCGGCCUCCAUUCCUGCUGCUCUGCUCCACCUCUCUGCUGCCCAGGAUCCCUGAAGGCCUUGCCCUGGGCCUGGACGACCUCCUCCCAGCAGCCGCCCUCGCCCGCCCAGCCACCUCCGAUCCUGGCCCUUUGUCUCCCAGCAUUUCUGCUCGGCUUUCCCUCAGCUUUCCCCCUCUGAGUGCAGGGACAAUAUGUUCCCACCGGGUCACCGCUGAGCCACCAGGGCCUGCUGCUGGCUGAUGAUUGGCUCACAGCGGCCCCAGCAGCCUGCAGUGCCCCACACAGCAGCUGCCUGGUGACUUGGGGCCGAGAUGGCAGAGAGCAGAGCUGCUGUGUCUGACCCGGGGGACCCCGCCUGUAGCCUGGGCCCUGCAGGCGGUGCUGAGAGUCAGGGCCUCCCACCUGUGGGCACACGCCCUCCCGCUGAGCCAGGCCACAGUCUGCUCCCUUUAUGGAUGACCAUGGAUGUGAGAGGAACGCAGGGGCGUAGCCCAGAUGAGGAGCCAGGCAGUGGGGACUUGCUAGGUGCGGAGCCCCUGGGUCGACACAGGGUCCCUUCUGUCCCUCCAGCCGCCCAGAGAGGCUGUGAUCCUGAGUCUGGGCCACUCUAGAACCUCCUGCCGCUGGCUGCCACUCCCCAACUCCAGGCUGGAUGCAGGGCCCACGGGACAGGAGGCAGAGGGCUUUGCCAUCCUGGUGUCUGCUUCCCCGUUUCACAGCUGGGGACCCUCAGAGUCCCAGGAGCCAGGCCAGGGGCCAGAGCUCAAGUUUUCCUGGUCUCCAGAAAGGGCCAAGGUCCUCAGAUUUCUUCUGCCAGCUUUAGGUUGGGAUGGUUUAAAGGCCCAAAUGACAACUCCUAUGCACUCUGCAGAACCCCAGCUUAACGCCCCCCCCCACCCGACCCCUGGGAAGUCUGCCCCA